CGUCCCUCUGUUCUAGCCGGAGGAAAUAAGGAAGCUCUCUGAUUCCAUUAUACACAAAGUAGUAAGAAUCUUCACGGCGUUGUAAGAUUAUGAUAUUUUCUGGUGUGAUUAAACACACUCUGAAGCAAAACCCGGCCGUAUGUGGAAAAAUGCAGACAGAAGCGGAGGAACAGCAGAAACUGAUACUUCAGAAAAGAGGGAAUAAGUCACUGCUGGAGAAGGUGAAAGAAGACGAAGCCAUGUUUAGGCACCGAAUCGAAAGUCUACCUGGGAACCGUCCCAAUAUGAAAAAAGAAAACAGGGAUUCUGGUGACUUGACGAAUGCAGAGACUCAGACAAACCAGCACAUUUUUGUGGAAAUUAAUGAAAACAAUUGAUACCUUGUUACUGCAUUGGGUGUAAGAAACAGACAAAAAACGCAAAUCCUACACUCAAAGUGUUUUCAGUCCCGGUGUAAUGGUUACAAAUGACUUGAUCUGGUCGAUAACAAAUGCAUUGCAUUUGUACAACUCAAAAAAAAAAAAGUCACACUAUAUUGCAUAGCACUUUUCUUAACUGUGCACUUUCAGUUGAGUAUCUUCACCAUUAUUAAGUAUUAAGUAUUUUCCCCAAUAUUAUUUUGUCAGCAUAUGAUGCUAUUGUUUUGGACUAUAUAAAGUAGUUGUGUCAAUACUUUAGAUAACAUUUUCUCCAUUCUGAUCUGUUUUUUCAUCCGUUUUGUUUUUUCUUUCUUACAAUUCUUACAUUUCAGAGGAAAACCCCUCUAUAUACAUAUACUCAGGUUCUUUAACAGAGGGAGCUGUCCCCAAAUUGAGUCAUAUUACUGUUGUUAAUUUUUAUUAAUUCCAAUUUUAUUAUGCACAGGUAUUUUUUAGAUACAACCCCAAUUCCAAAAAAGUUGGGACAGUAUGGAAAAUGCAAAAAAAAAAGUCAUUUGAAAUUUCAGUUCACCAUGUACUAUAUUGAAAACACAUUAUGAACACAUUAUUUAAUGUUCUGCUUUGUGAAUGUAAUUUAUUUUUGAAAAUAUACACUCAUUUCAAAUCUGAUGAUUUGAAACAUUUUGGAAAAGUUGGGACAGUCGACUGUUUACCACUGUAUAACAUCACUUUUUCUUUUAAUAACACUUUUUAAGCAUUUAUGCACUGAAGACACCAGUUGGUUAAAAACUAUGCAGUUGAUUAGGUACUCACUUUCAACGUUUUUUGGUGCGUUUAUAAUUUACAGAUUGAAUUGUUUUGUAUUUUAAUUUUAACGUUAAGUUACAUCCGUUUAUUUUGAUUAUUGUAAACUUUCAAGAUUAAUAAACGAACUGUGAUCAACUUAAUUUUCCUGGAUUUUAAUGGCUAUUAAGGAAUCAACAAAGAGAUGUCAAAAAUUUCCCUAGUGGACCCAAGAAACAACUAAGGAACUUUUGAAAAGAAGUAAAUGUCACUACAACAUCAAAUACCUUGUCUUUAUAUGUUGUUGUUGUUGUUGUUUUUAAUACAAGUCAAAGUACAUUCACAUAUCACUCCUCUUUGUUUUUAUUAGCAUUUUCCAUACUGUCCCAACUUUUUCUGAAUAUGGGUUGUAAUUCAAAUUGAACUGAAAAUUUUGUAAAAUACUCUUAAUUUCUGAAAUUUCAUAUGGUGCAUAAUAAAGUUGUAUGUGCUGCUGUUGAGUACGUGGGGGAACAGGGGGAAUUUUGUUAUUUUCAUUUUCUAUUUGUUUAAUGUUUAGAACAGGGUUUUUAGAACAAUGCCUUAGUUCGCCUAAGUCAUUCUGCAGGUCAGUGAAGCUGUUAAUCCUGUAUUGUGCCUUGGAUUUGAAAUGACCAUUUUUUGGUUGUUUCAAAGUUUAUAAAUAAAAUUAUUUGAUUUCA